rnacentral:rRNA from 1 species
AGAGUUUGAUCAUGGCUCAGAAUCAACGCUGGCGGCGCGCUUAACACAUGCAAGUCGCACGAGAAAGGGGAGCAAUCCCUGAGUAAAGUGGCGUACGGGUGAGUAACACGUGGGUAAUCCACCCUUUAGUGGGGAAUAACCCUGGGAAACCGGGGCUAAUACCGCAUAAGCCUGAGAAGGGAAAGCAGCAAUGCGCUGAAGGAGGAGCCCGCGGCCGAUUAGCUAGUUGGUGAGGUAACGGCCCACCAAGGCGAUGAUCGGUAGCCGGCCUGAGAGGGCACACGGCCACACUGGCACUGAAACACGGGCCAGACUCCUACGGGAGGCAGCAGUGGGGAAUCUUGCACAAUGGAGGAAACUCUGAUGCAGCGACGCCGCGUGAGCGAUGAAGCCCUUCGGGGUGUAAAGCUCUUUCGACGGGAACGAUAAUGACGGUACCCGGAGAAGAAGCUGCGGCUAACUACGUGCCAGCAGCCGCGGUAAUACGUAGGCAGCGAGCGUUGUUCGGAAUUACUGGGCGUAAAGAGUGUGUAGGCGGUGCUCUAAGUUCGGUGUGAAAUCUCCUGGCUUAACUGGGAGGGUGCGCCGGAAACUGGGGUGCUCGAGCGUGGGAGAGGAAAGCGGAAUUCCUGGUGUAGCGGUGAAAUGCGUAGAUAUCAGGAGGAACACCUGUGGUGUAGACAGCUUUCUGGACCAUUGCUGACGCUGAGACACGAAAGCGUGGGUAGCAAACAGGAUUAGAUACCCUAGUAGUCC